rfam:Schistosoma mattheei strain Denwood, Zambia genome assembly, scaffold: SMTD_scaffold0001624
AUCCAGCUGACGAGUCCUAAAUGGGAAGAAACGCUCGUUUUGGAU